GGUCUCGCGAGGGUGUGUCUGAUUGCCAGAAUUUGGAUCACUUGACUGUGCCUAGCUCCAUGAGGCCUGCAGUGGCGCAUUUUCUGGUUUCUACCUUGGGAAGACAGAUUUCGUAAUAUGGGAAAUUACCAAAAUUAUUUUCUUGCACUCUUUAUGGCUGGCUGAGUCUUUAAUAGCCAACUUUUUCCAUGCAAAAGGAAGUUCACUGAAGAGAAGUAAGGGUGAAGACCGCAAUGAUAAAAUCUUCCCUUAAAUAAAAGAAGCCCUUUGGAUCUUUAGGUGGUGAAAGAUGAUCUUUCGAUUUGUGAGACCCCUGACAUUUUGUAAUUACAGGUUAAUAUAAAGACUGCUAUAUUUAGGCAGGUUCCACUUAUAAAGAUAAUAGUAAUAUAAUGGCUAAAGAUUCAGCAAAGGCUGGCAAUUAGCAAAUAUAUUCACUGUGCUUUAGUUUAUACUUUCAUUCCCAAAGGCAAUUAAUCACUUAAGUAAAUAUUUUAGCCUAAUUAUAGAUAAUAAUAAACAAAAGUGUACUCACAUUUUCUCAAGUUUGUCUGCAUUCGAAGAGCUCACCAAACAUUUGUUAUUGCCUCUAAUCACAGUGAGAGCCUAACUUAGGUAACUAAUUGACCUUAUGAAUAGAAGAUCUUAAGAAUAAAACAAACAAAUUUAAUAAAGUUGCAGGAUACAAAAUUAAUGCAAAGAAGCCAGUAGAGUUUCCAUAUACUAACAAUAAACUAUCUGACAAAGAAAUCAAGAA
rnacentral:lncRNA from 1 species